rnacentral:rRNA from 1 species
UUCUGGUUGAUCCCGGCGGACCCUACUGCUAUCGGGGUGGGACUAAGACAUGCAAGUUGUGCGUCUCUAAGCUAUGGUAGAGACGCGGCAUACGGCUCAGUAACACGUGGCUAACCUACCCUUAGGACGGAGACAACUCCGGGAAACUGGGGCUAAUACCCGAUAGGUGAGGAGGCCUGGAAUGGUUCUUCGCCCAAAAGGCGUUGAAACCACGCUUUUCAACGUCGCCUAAGGAUGGGGCCGCGUCCGAUCAGGUUGUUGGUGAGGCAACGGCUCACCAAGCCUAUAACCGGUACGGGCCGUGAGAGCGGGAGCCCGGAGAUGGGCACUGAGACAAGGGCCCAGGCCCUACGGGGCGCAGCAGUCGCGAAAACUCCGCAAUGCGCGAAAGCGUGACGGGGCUACCCCGAGUGCCGUCCGCUGAGGAUGGCUUUUCCCGGNGNAAUGANCCGGNGGAAUAA